GGCGUAAAGCGCAUGCAGGUGGUUGAUUAAGUCAGAUGUGAAAUCCCCGAGCUUAACUUGGGAACUGCAUUUGAAACUGGUCAGCUAGAGUCCUGUAGAGGGGGGUAGAAUUUC
rnacentral:rRNA from 1 species